UACGUAGGGUGCAAGCGUUUAAUCGGAAUUACUGGGCGUAAAGCGUGCGCAGGCGGUUGUGCAAGACAGAUGUGAAAUCCCCGGGCUCAACCUGGGAAUUGCAUUUGUGACUGCACGGCUAGAGUGUGUCAGAGGGGGGUAGAAUUCCACGUGUAGCAGUGAAAUGCGUAGAGAUGUGGAGGAAUACCGAUGGCGAAGGCAGCCCCCCUGGGAUAACACUGACGCUCAUGCACGAAAGCGUGGGGGAGCAAACAGG
rnacentral:rRNA from 1 species